CCUGGUUAGUACUUGGAUUGGAGACCGCCUGGGAAUAUCAGGU
ensembl:rRNA 5S_rRNA 5S ribosomal RNA